AAGCCUGCAUCCUGAGCUUCCAGGACUCAUGGGUGUCUCCAGAAAGGGAAAAAUGAAUAAUGAUGACAACAAUGGUGAUGGUGGUGAUGAUGGUGAUGGUGGUGAUGAUGGUGAUGAUAGUGAUGGUGGUGAUGAGAAUGAUGAUGGUGGUGAUGAUGGUGGCAGUGGUAACAAUAGUGAUGAUGAUGAUGGUGGUGAUGAUAGUGGUGAUGGUGGUGGUGGUGGUGAUGGUGGUGACGAUGGUGGUGAUGAUGGUGAUGAUAGUGAUGGUGGUGAUGAGGAUGAUGGUGGUGGUGAUGAUGGUGGCGGUGAUAACAGUAGUGAUGAUGAUGGUGGUGAUGGUUAUGGUAACAAUGAUGAUAAUGAUGGUGAUGAUGGUGAUGAUGAUGACUAUGAAGGUGAUGUGAUGGUGACGAUGGUGAUGGUGGUGGUGAUGGUGAUGAUGGUGAUAGUGGUGAUGGUGGUGGUGGUGAUGGUUGUGAUGGUGAUGGUAAUGAUGGUGAUGGUGGUGGUAAUAGUGAUGGUGAUGGUGACGAUGGUGGUGGUGAUGAUGAUGAUGGUGAUGAUAGUGAUGACGAUGGUGGUGAUGAUGUUGAUGAUAGUGAUNNNNNNNNNNGGUGAUGAUGGUGAUGGUGGUGGCGAUGGUGAUGACUGUGACAAUGAUGAUGCAGCUGCCCAGUGUUUAGUGAGCACUUGCUGCAUGCCAGGUGCUUUUGCAGACAUGUUCUCAGUCUGCACAACCCAUUUGCUGCACAGGGAAUGUGUCUCCAUUUUUGUGGAUGAGGCUCAUAGGACUGAAGGGGCAAGCCCAAGGUCACAGAGUGGCAAACAGGUAGCAUGCGGCAGUGGCUGGCCUGUCACUCAGUGUGCAGCCUCAGCAGGAGAGAUCAUGGGAGGGCCAGGAGAGAAAACUUCUCCUUUCCCUGGGGGCAGAAGUUUCUCACCUCCUGUGCUGACUGAGGCAGAGGUGUGGGCCAUGCCUCUGCCUCUACACGUGGCAAGCCAGACACAAGCUUCUUUCUUAGUCCCUCUGUCCAUGAAGUGGAGGCCACAGUCUGGGCCAGUGAGAACCAAAGACAUGCCAGGAAAACCACAACACAUCAUUGUUUUGUGACUGUUGCUCAUGCAUGAGAACCACUGGGAAUACGCGUGCUAAGGACAGUGUGGAGGAGCAAACCCACUCUGCUCUCAGGGUAGGAGCCUGAAUGGGCAUGACUUUUCAGAAGGCGUGGCUAUGGCACCAAUGCCCCACACAUCAUCACGGCGAUGUGGGGUCCACUUCCAGGACCGCAUCCGACAGUACACGCAGCAGAAAUGCUAGGAAGGGCCUUCGCAUGUGCACACACAUGCAGGACACCCACACAACGCUCACAGGACGCCCACAGGAUGCCACAGGUCCUGUGUGCAAGUGCAGUCGCAGGAAACAGCCACAGCAUAAGUGCCCGCUGCCUAGGGGCGAUGACAGCAUCAUUGCAUGUCCCUAAAUGAGAAACGCUUUAACCAAAAGUCAGAAGGCCAAUUCUAACGCUGGCCUCCCUCUGCCUCUGAGGCUUUGCCUAUUCCUCCCUCUGCCUCUGAGGGUUUGCCUAUGCCUCCCUCUGCCUCUGAGGGUUUGCCUAUGCCUCCCUCUGCCUCUGAGGUUUUGCCUAUGCCUCCCUCUGCCCUCCCUCUGCCUCUGAGGCUUUGCCUAUGCCUCCCUCUGCCUCUGAGGGUUUGCCUAUGCCUGGCAUUUCAUGUGGAUGGCAUCAGGCUGGACGUGGCCUUUUGUGACUGGCUGCUUCCACUCUGCCUGUGCCCAGGCACCCUGUGCCCAGAGUGCAUCAGACUACGUUCCUUUGGGCGCCUGGAUGAUGCUGCGCCUGUGGGCGCCCGUCCCCUGCUUGGCUGUGGUAUGAGGUGAGACCCCUGGAGGGGCUUCCGCUAGGCAGCGAUGUGCGGUUGGUGGGAGGAAUUAAAUCACGUCUCGCACACCCUCCCUUAUCGGCCAGCUGUGUCCACAUCUGGAUCAAUACUAACCCAGGCCUUUCCUUCCAACGGGGCUUCUCCGUGUUCUCAGAAGAUGAAGAAGCAGCAAACACACUGGCUGGGCUCCCUCCCUGGAGCCCCUUCACCACCUGCCCAGUCACGGACAGCAGCGGCCGUGUUACUCCCCAGCUCAUGAACCUUCUGUGGCUCCCUGUUGUUGACAGUGAGGGUUGACACACAGACCCCGGAUACCACUGCCAGAGCUCCCAGUCAGCACAUCAUGGGUGGGAUACAGGAACUUGCACUUUUAUAAAAACUGCAGGAAAUAUGGAGGCAGGUGGUCUCUGGGUUUUCUUUGAAGGACUCCGGCUGCGGGUGAACGUUGGGACCCCAUGGAGAGCAUUUAGGGCCCUGACCCUUCUUGCUGAUUCGGUUUGACUCUGCUCCCUCCUCGGCCUCCUCCGCUUCCUCCUCGGCCUCCUCUGCUGUGGCCAAACUGCGUCUCCCCCACCCGCCUGCCCCAGUUGUUUUCUCUGGACACCUGGAAUCCUCUCUGGUUCCUGUGUGGUGCUCACUCCGUGGGAAGCAGCCCUCCCUAGACUGGGCGCCUCUGUUGCUCACACCACACCCUCUCCCAUUGCACUCAGCUGUGUGUGUACACCCCAGCCCCCCGGCUCGAACGCUUGAGGGUUGUAUCUGAUUUCUUCUGGUUUUCCUUGUCUGGUGCAUUUUGGGAGCCAGGGAUGGAGGAGAUCAGUGCAUUGGAGAAGAACCCGGGCCCUGGACCCCACGAAGAUCCACGUCAGGCCAGGUGCAUUGGAUCAGCUUCUCCACAGAGCACACACUGAUGGUGUCUUGCACUGGGGCCGUGGCGUUUCAGGUCCAGCAGCAGAGCUUCGACGUUAGCCANNNNNNNNNNNNNNNNNNNNAGAAAAAAGACCCCCCCCCCACCCCAACGUGAUAUUUUGAGGAUGGCACAGGCCUGGCCCCUAGCUGGCCCUGGGAACCGCAGAUGAGAACAUUUCAGCACCCACACCGCGCUUA
rnacentral:lncRNA from 1 species